AUGUAAUGUAAUGCCUACAACUUUAAUGCAUUGGAUCCCAUUAGAACUCCACAUUUAAGGAUGCUUGGGCUAGAGUAGUAUUGGGAUGGGUGACCUCCCAAGAAGUCCUAGUGUUUUACAUG
rfam:Picea glauca, whole genome shotgun sequence.